rnacentral:lncRNA from 1 species
GCGCGGCGGUGAGAGGGGUUGGGAACCACUCCUUAAAGUCCUUGCAGCAUCCAAAAAAAAAAGAAAAAAGAAAAAAAGCACACCGGGGUGAAAAGGAGUAGUAAGGCUGUACAAAAAUCUAGCAGGGCUGCGCCUCCUAUAUCGCUUUCCACCGUUGAGCAGGCCGGGCAUCAAACAGGCCGUUAGGCGGGUUAGGCAAAACCACUGCGACAAUUUUGGUUCCACAACGCAUCAGUUAAAAAUGCUUUUUACACCAGUUCUGAUUGGGAACACCCGAAAUUUCUGAGAGUGGCCUAAAAAUGAGUUACCUAUUUUUGCAAGAAAAUCUACAGUGGGGUCCUUUAGCAGGGGUUCUAGCUGGUGUGAGAACAAGCUUUGAAUAUUAAAAUCCCACACUGGACUUAAAAUACUACGCUGUUACAAAGUGCUGAGAAAAACCCUGCACUCCUAAUACCUCGCACACUGGAUAACCCGCUUUACUGAGAGCUUUUACAAAGAUACGACCUAAACUAUUGCUUAGCUUGCAAAAUUAGUAUACUGUGUUUUCUCCCUCAGCUUCUCUAAGUAUUGGAUGAAAUACUGUUUUCUCUUCCUAUGGCAACAUCCAGGGUCAACAUCAGUGGCGUUUCAUACCUUUACCCUAUGUGAACAGCAAAUCUUCCGGCACUCUUUUUUUCCACCCAAAGCUACUGUCAAAUCUGUUACUUCAUAUACCACCCAUUUCGAGACUCAGCAUGGUUUUGGAGCCCUGAAUACACGAACUGGAGGGUGAGACCUGCGCUGCUCCUGCCCGCCUUUGGUUGCUGCUGCCCUCCUGCCACCCUCGCCUCUGUGCGUAAAUCAGUAUUUGUGCAGCUGCGUAAUAGACUGCGCCGGGGAAAUGAUCGCCGAAUGAACACCAAACAGGCAAAUAACUUUCUUUUUUUCUUUAGCUCCUAUCAGUUUCCUGAUUCGCUUUACAGCAUGGUUAUGCAAACGCUGACGUGCAAUGACAAAAGGGAGGAAGGGGGAGAGGAGACACAGGGUGGGAGUGGUCCAUGUUUUGGCAGUAAUGCCAACACGUGGGCUCCAACAGUCGGGGGAAGUACAGCAUGAGCUGUUUGUCAGGGACAUAGAGCACCUCCUCACACCUUGCUCACAGCUGCUACAGGAGUGAUGUGGUUCCCGGGGUAAACGUUCUCCAAGAGGUGGAAGUACACGAGAUAUAACACUGAACGUAUCUUCUAAAUCUUGUGCAUCUUGUGACUUACCCUUAGAGCGUAAGACAUGCUCGUCCUUGGUUUCUAUGACUUUGUCAGGAAACAACUCUGAGGGGCCACAGCAUAUCACUCACAUGAGCACAGGCAUAUAAUACAAGCAUUGUGCUGCAAAAUUUUGUGUAUGAUUUUCUCUUCCUGUAUUUAUAUAAGGAGAAAAAAAUUUCGCUGGCAGACAUAAGUAGUGAGACCACUGGGGAAAAUAAUAAUAUUUCAGUAAUAGAGCUAAAAAGAUGGAAAAAUGUCAAAUUCCUCUAUAAAUAGACACAAGAGACACUUGCUUUAUGGGAGAGAUCUACGCUGCAGAUGGUGGUGGAGUGUAGAAACACCUGAGCUAGCUGCAAAUGAGCUAGCCUAGGUACCAGAAGCAAUAGUAGAUGCCCCGGUUUUAUUCCUUGAUUUCUGUGUCCCAUUGGCUCUGAUUCCAGGGUGGUUCCAGUUCUCCAAGGUAUUUAUGUAGCAACUGGGAAUGGAUUGUAGCGCAGAUAUGUGCUGCCCUAUUCCCAGACUCGCACCCCACCUCUCAGUUAGGCAGAGCUCUGCUUGCAGCUCCCCUCUCUGGAGGAGCUCUCAGCAAGGCAGGCAGCAGGAGAUAUUCGGCUCCUUUGCAUAGCUUCAGCGGCCCAGAACUUUUCACAUCUUGAAUUUUCUGCUUCCCUGCUCACAACCUCCGUGGUGCUCUAAUAUAACUUCUGCACUAAUUUCUUUUUAAUCAGGCAAAGGAAAUUGAAAUAAAAUUCACUCAGCAUAUAAUUCGCUUUCGGUC